AUGACCUAUGUUGUGUUGAAGGGAUAUCUAUAUGAUCCGAUCGAUUGCAUAAGACCCGCGGUAGCAAUAGAACGGGGAAAGUAUACAGAAAAGACAGUUCUUUUCAAUUUCGAUUAUCUAUAUAUUAGUUCAUUUCUAUUUCUAGAUGCGAUCAAACAAUUCCAUCGAAUUGAGUAUGACUGUAUGUGUGAUAGCAUCUACUAUACCAGGAAUAUCAAUGACCCCCAUUCUUGCAAUUGCUCAGGAUACCCUCUUUUAGCUGCUAGGUCUAUUUCUUAG
rnacentral:rRNA from 1 species